rnacentral:tRNA from 1 species
AAAAGAUUAGUUAAAUCAUAACAUUAGAAUGUCAUUCUAAAAUUAUUAAAUAAAUUAAUAUCUUUUA